GUUUAUGAAUAUACAAUACACCAUUGCUAUUUUCGGUUUUACAGUUUGACCAAGGGAUAUGGAUAAUGGAAAUCUAGGAAUGCAUAAUACAUCCAAGGAUAAAGAUGUAUGGAAUUUCUUCACAGUUGAAUUUCUCAGGAUCCAAAAGCUUAGGGUGUAUCUAGCUCUACCAACAGCUGUACGCCAUUCUUUUAUAAGUAUGUUUUAUUUAUUCUUUAUUGUUGUUCUCAGGGGAAAACACUGGUCAGAUUUCCAUAAUUUAUUUUUAACACUGAGUAUACUUUUUAUAUAGUUUAAAUAAUGUGUUGGCAAUUAUUUGAUACCGAAACGUAUACUACACUUGACCUGCCAACAUUUCAAGUGCGAUUGUUAUAUUUUUGAAUUUUGAUUGAUGGAAUUUUAAAAUAUGUUCAUAUUGAGAAAUGGCAGACUCCUGUUUGAAAGGUAUGUGACACAUUAAAUUCAAAAUCAAUCACCCCCCCCCCCCCCC